AGAGUUUGAUCCUGGCUCAGAUCAACGCUGGCGGCGUGCCUAACACAUGCAAGUCGCACGAGAAAGGGUAGCAAUACCUGAGUACAGUGGCGCACGGGUGAGUAACACGUGAAUGAUCUACCUCCGAGUGGGGAAUAACUUAGGGAAACCUGAGCUAAUACCGCAUAACACUUACGAGUCAAAGCAGCAAUGCGCUUGGAGAGGAGUUCGCGGCAGAUUAGUUAGUUGGCGGGGUAAUGGCCCACCAAGACGAUGAUCUGUAUCCGGCCUGAGAGGGCGCACGGACACACUGGAACUGAAACACGGUCCAGACUCCUACGGGAGGCAGCAGUGGGGAAUUUUGCGCAAUGGGGGAAACCCUGACGCAGCAACGCCGCGUGGAGGAUGAAAUCCCUUGGGAUGUAAACUCCUUUCGAUCGGGACGAUUAUGACGGUACCGGAAGAAGAAGCCCCGGCUAACUUCGUGCCAGCAGCCGCGGUAAUACGAGGGGGGCGAGCGUUGUUCGGAAUUAUUGGGCGUAAAGGGUGCGUAGGCGGUUUGAUAAGUCUGAUGUGAAAUCUAUGGGCUCAACCCAUAGUCUGCAUUAGAAACUGUCGGGCUUGAGUAUGGGAGAGGUGAGUGGAAUUUCCGGUGUAGCGGUGAAAUGCGUAGAUAUCGGAAGGAACACCUGUGGCGAAAGCGGCUCACUGGACCAUUACUGACGCUGAUGCACGAAAGCUAGGGGAGCAAACAGGAUUAGAUACCCUAGUAGUCC
rnacentral:rRNA from 1 species